GCGGACUCUCAACCACUGCGCCACCAGGGAAGCCCUGCUUCCUUUCUUAUCCUACAGUCUAUUCUCUAACCAGCAGGAGGAGUGAUAAUCUGAAAAAAAAAGAAAAAAAAAAAAAUCCCAGCACUCCCUUGUGUAUAGUUCUUCUUUGGGUUCCUGUUGCACUCAGCUAAAACUCCAGACGCCCGUUCCAGGAUCUCUGCAUUCUUGGCGCACUCCUACUAAUUUUUCCUGUCUGACUCGGAUGCUGUCUACACUGUGACUUUCCCUACAACCACUUUUUUUUUUU